rnacentral:tRNA from 1 species
GUGAAUGUAGCUCAGUUGGUAGAGCGCCAGGUUGUGGUUCUGGUGGUCGCGGGUUCAAGCCCCGUCGUUCACC